UUGUUUAGUCUUUAAUCCUUGUUAUCGGAUUUAGGAUUCAACAAAUGGCGCCCACCGUGGGGCUGAAAGGUUUCUAACGCACGAAGUCAGCAAAACUCCCGAACGUUAAAGCUAUGUCAUCUACGUCAGGACCCCCGCCCUCGAAAUCCGGCGAGCGACAGCCCUCAAGCACAGCAACCGGCGGAUCAGCUGAGGUCGGGAAAAGUAGCCAAACGAACCCCGGAAACACGCGCCCACCAACCAACGCCACUAUCGACGCCAUGCUUUCAGUCGCAAAGAACGCAUCCGUGACGACACCUUGUACCACACGAACGAGUCAUCCCGCUGAGCAGGCGCAAGACUCAGCGCCCCA
rnacentral:lncRNA from 1 species